GGUGGCGGUGUCCCGUUUUGCGGGCGAGAAAAGAGAGGAGCAAGGAAUUCACGCAUAAACAGCUUCUUUCUCUACAGCGCCUGAACAGGAGUUGAGUACCACAGAAAGGGUCUGGUCUGACAGAAGGAUAACCGAGCAUGCAAGCUUCCAUCCAGGCGUCUUUCCUGUGAGGCUAAGCAUCCCCCUGAAACAGUCACUCGCUUUAAAAAAUGUCAGUACUGUACUGAUGUCUGUUCUUCUGCCUUCAGCUCCAGUUUUUUCAUCCACUGAGCUGGACACUGGGUACUUGUCUGGUUGACUCAUGGGAAAGAAAUCACUCCCACAGAAGUCCUCGUUAGCCAUGUAAUUACUUCAGAGUCAGUGGCCUGGUGACCAUGUGUCCCCU